rnacentral:lncRNA from 1 species
CUAAACAAGACAAGAUGGAGGGAAAUAGAAGUGAAGUCUGAAAAAUCAACAGUGCAACAGAAGAUACUCAAAAUAUAAGAUCAGAAGAUGGUAGAAUGGUGUGCAGCAGAGGAAGCCUCUCUGAGAUUUGGUGUCCUGACAUUGGAAUAUAGUGGCGUGAGGAGGAGGAAAGUGGGUCUCCAGGACCUAAGAAGGAUCUGAAGCAAGAAUUGAAGUCCAUGGGGAGAGCAAAGAGAGAGACUUUAAUGAAGAGGAGGGAGAUGGCAAGCAGCGCUUCCUCCCACAUCCCAGACUCAUGGUGUGGGAAUGGCAGCUCGAACCUGCAGAUGUAUGGUGACUACUGGCGACCCCAGAGGCCUACACAGAAAAACACACUAGUGGAACAGAGUAGGGGAAACAGCAGACUGCAGUGGCUGGACAUGUGAGUACUGAGAAGUAUCCCAGAAGACAUCAUGCAUUCCAACUUCCCCUUUAUAUUCAGAUCAGAUUGAUGUAAUAAGCCCAGCUAUGGAAUUCCGAGACAUAAUUCCAUUUUGGCCUCCAGUCACAAUUGAGACCUCAAUGAUCCGGUGAUGCUCCAGGACAAGAAACAUCCUGGGAGCUGAAAACAUCCUGGGAGGAACAAACAUCUGCUCAGUUCCUCGUUGUUCUUGGAUUGUUACAUUUUAUUUACACAGGAUGUACUGAACUCUCUGCAAGUCAUAUGUUACAUUUGUUUCUCCCGAUGUACUGAAUAAAAGGUGGGG